rnacentral:rRNA from 1 species
CCUACGGGGGGCAGCAGUAGGGAAUUUUCGUCAAUGGGCGCAAGCCUGAACGAGCAAUGCCGCGUGAACGAGGAAGGUCUUCGGAUCGUAAGUUCUGUUGAAGGGGAAAAAGAGCGGAGAGAGGAAAUGGUCUCCGAUUGAUAUUACCCUUCGAGGAAGUCACGGCUAACUACGUGCCAGCAGCCGCGGUAAUACGUAGGUGGCGAGCGUUAUCCGGAAUGAUUGGGCGUAAAGGGUGCGUAGGCGGCCUGCUAAGUCUGGAGUGAAAGGUACCGGCUCAACCGGUAUAGGCUCUGGAAACUGGG